UUAUGUGAGAUUGAUCUGGCUGCAUGGCAUCCGUCACCCUAUUGAUAGCCAGGGUUGAUUCAGAUGGCUGGCUGGGUGUCCCCUUCCUCCCUCACGACUCCUCGCGUGUCCCUCCUGAAGCUGCAUGCUCAACUGGACGCUCAAUCUGUUGAUAAGGACAACACCACCUCCCUGCAACAACUACCCCCCGGAAAGAGGACUGUUUCCUUGGUCAGGGAUAUACAAGUAGCUGCACUCCCCUUCUAGAACCUCCAAAAAAGCUCUCCAGAAAUCACUUCAUGCACACAGAAUAAUUAAAACAAGGCUAUCAAAACUUUACGUUGGAAGUGACAUGCUUUAA
ensembl:misc_RNA 7SK 7SK RNA